rnacentral:rRNA from 1 species
UACGAAGGGGGCUAGCGUUGCUCGGAAUCACUGGGCGUAAAGGGUGCGUAGGCGGCUAAUUAAGUCAGCGGUGAAAUUCCACAGCUCAACUGUGGAACUGCCAUUGAUACUGGUUGGCUUGAGUACAGAUGAGGUAGGCGGAAUUGACAGUGUAGCGGUGAAAUGCUUAGAUAUUGUCAAGAACACCUAUUGCGAAGGCAGCUUACUAAGCUGUAACUGACGCUGAGGCACGAAAGCGUGGGGAUCAAACAGG